rnacentral:rRNA from 1 species
UACGAAGGGGGCUGGCGUUGCUCGGAAUCACUGGGCGUAAAGCGCACGUAGGCGGAUUGUUAAGUCAGAGGUGAAAUCCUGGAGCUCAACUCCAGAACUGCCUUUGAUACUGGCAAUCUCGAGUCCGGGAGAGGUGAGUGGAACUGCGAGUGUAGAGGUGAAAUUCGUAGAUAUUCGCAAGAACACCAGUGGCGAAGGCGGCUCACUGGCCCGGUACUGACGCUGAGGUGCGAAAGCGUGGGGAGCAAACAGG